rnacentral:misc_RNA from 1 species
UCAGAACUUUAAACACUGAUAGGUAAAUUCUUAUUUAUAUCUAUACUCAAAUUUUUAGCCCCAUUCAGCUGUUUGGGACCUGAAAUAAUUAUUACUAUUAUAUGAUAUUUUUUAAUUAUUUUUAAAUGAUCGAUAAAUAAUAUACAUUCACAUAGGAAGCCCAAACCCAGUAAUUCUAAUUGUGAGAUAUGGCCUGCUGCUUUACAAAAAGUAACAGUGAAUCUGGAAUAUAGAACAAUUUAUUUUUCAUUUUUUUUUUAAAUGACUCUUUUUC